rnacentral:lncRNA from 1 species
CCUGGGCACGAGUUUUUAUCGUCGUCAAUUUCUCUUGAAGUUCGACGGCGGUCUUCUCAACUUUCUCAGUGGCAUUUUCGGCUUCCUUAGUGGUGUUCUCGACCUCCUUGGCAGCCUUCUCCACCUUCCACACCCUUUCUUUCUCCUCGAUGAGAGCACCCUCAGUCGACUUCAUUUCCUUCUGAUAGUCGGCCUUCAGCUUCUCGAACUCCUCCUUUUCAUUUCUUUGCUGGGCCAC